UACAGAGGUCUCAAGCGUUGUUCGGAUUCAUUGGGCGUAAAGGGUGUGUAGGCGGCGCGGUAAGUCGGAUGUGAAAUCUCGGAGCUUAACUUCGAAACUGCAUUCGAUACUGCCGUGCUUGAGGACUGGAGAGGAGACUGGAAUUUACGGUGUAGCGGUGAAAUGCGUAGAUAUCGUAAGGAAGACCAGUGGCGAAGGCGGGUCUCUGGACAGUUCCUGACGCUGAGGCACGAAGGUCAGGGGAGCAAACGGG
rnacentral:rRNA from 1 species